AGCGGGAUAGAGCAGUUGGCAGCUCGUCGGGUUCAUUCCCCGAAGAUCGUGGGUUCAAAUCCCACUCCUGCAA
rnacentral:tRNA from 1 species